UCCUACGGGAGGCAGCAGUGGGGAAUAUUGCACAAUGGGGGAAACCCUGAUGCAGCGACGCCGCGUGAGUGAAGAAAUAUCUCGGUACGUAAAGCUCUAUCAGCAGGGAAGAAAAAAAGUCUUUGGCUUUGGACGGUACCUGACUAAGAAGCCCCGGCUAACUACGUGCCAGCAGCCGCGGUAAUACGUAGGGGGCAAGCGUUAUCCGGAUUUACUGGGUGUAAAGGGAGCGUAGACGGCGAUGCAAGUCUGAAGUGAAAGGCGGGGGCCCAACCCCUGGACUGCUUUGGAAACUGUAUGGCUGG
rnacentral:rRNA from 1 species